rnacentral:lncRNA from 1 species
AUAAAGCUCUUACAUUGUCACAGGGCACACAGAACACAGAGGCAGAUGGCCAGACAAUACAUCAACACUUAAGUUAGAUAGAAAAUAAGGGAUAUGAAUAUUCCUGAAGGCAAUGAGUAAUCAGCAGGUGAUAAUACCAUUGAUAAAUAUUCAUUGAUUAUGGAGAACUUGAGCACUCGUAGAUAAGAUAAUCAGAAGACAGUAGUUGAAGUUCUGAUACAAGAAAGCUACACCCCAGUACAGACAUGCUUGGGAAAGAAGGAGCUGGACACAGAGAAGAGGACCAAGAGAAAGAAAACGUAUACUAAAGUGUAUGUAGUUUUUCUCCUAGCUAAGUUUUAAUCAUUCUUAGUAAGUUAUUUUGUGAUCUGCAUCAAGUGCCCUGUUUAAAAAAACAACCUGGUUAGAAAACUGAACUGAAAUGAUCUUCCU